rnacentral:rRNA from 1 species
GACGAACGCUGGCGGCGUGCUUAACACAUGCAAGUCGAACGAAAAGAGGGAAAGAGCUUGCUCUUUCCGGAAUUGAGUGGCAAACGGGUGAGUAACACGUAAACAACCUGCCUUCAGGAUGGGGACAACAGACGGAAACGACUGCUAAUACCGAAUAAGUUCCAAGAGCCGCAUGGCCCAUGGAAGAAAAGGUGGCCUCUACCUGUAAGCUAUCGCCUGAAGAGGGGUUUGCGUCUGAUUAGCUGGUUGGUGGGGUAACGGCCCACCAAGGCGACGAUCAGUAGCAGGUCUGAGAGGAUGAACGGCCACACUGGAACUGAGACACGGUCCAGACUCCUACGGGAGGCAGCAGUGGGGAAUCUUCCGCAAUGGGCGAAAGCCUGACGGAGCAACGCCGCGUGAGUGAUGACGGCCUUCGGGUUGUAAAACUCUGUGAUCCGGGACGAAAAGGCAGAGUGCGAAGAACAAACUGCAUUGACGGUACCGGAAAAGCAAGCCACGGCUAACUACGUG